rnacentral:lncRNA from 1 species
UUUUCGUAUUGGUAGCUUCAUUACUCGCGAUCGCUUCAUCUCGAAUCAUUUAGCAUACAAUCCAGUGCAAUAUGUUGAAAGUUUUUGUACAAGGUCAUAUGGCUUUAUAGUUAACCAAGUUGAAGUAAUUAUCAAUUAACCUUAUAGUCAUACAUUUCUGGAGCACAAACUCCUAUAAGAUGCCAUUAGAUUUUAUCAGACCAAAUGUAACAGAUCUUCAUAACAAUAAAGCAAUCAUUUUGCGCUUGUUCUUUUAAACAUAUCUUUUAUAAUGUUUGUUUUUAUUGUUUGGUGGGAGCUGAGUCUGAUUCAAAAAAAUACUCAACAGAAUUUCGAUUGGUUGAUGAUGAUUUUUAUGUGUUGCAAUUGAACAUAUUUUCCUGUUCAAUUGAAGUUUUAUUGUCUUAUUGUAAUACUUUUUUUGUAAAUUCAUAGGUAUAUUUGUUCGACUCUGGUUGUUGUUUGAAUGAUUUUUAUUGAUUGGUGUGCAUUGGGUCUUAUUCAUAAAUACGUUUGUCUGAGUUUCGAUUGGUUGAUAAUGAUUUGUAUUUGUUUCAAAUGGGUUCUUCUUGAUCAAUUUAAGUUUAAAUAACUUUUGGUAAUGCCUGCUCAGUAGAUUCAUAAUGUGACGAACUUCAUUAUGUGCCUUUUAUCUUUUAUUAAUUAUUUACUUAUUAUUCAUAAAUUGUAAUUCAUGAAGGGCAGUUCACUAUCUUAUUUUCAUGGUUUAUAAAGGUAUGUAUAAAUUGCACCCUGAUUGGCACCCCACUCAUUUAUUUACGCGCCAGGUUAAAAUCAUGUGACAGGUAGCACAUUGUUAUUUAUACAGGUAAAGUGGUUAGACAUAGCACACCUAGAUUUUGAUGUGAACAGACGUUUAGGAAGCUGCAGAUCAGUUGGUGAUAUCUCAGAAUUGUUCAUGACAUGGAGUUUCACAGGAAAAUAUAAUAAAUUUGCUCAGGGAUUGAUCCAUGCAGUUUUAUGCUCAGUUUUGGAGCGGUAUCGUUUAAAUGGUCAUACAACGUACGUCCUACUUAUUGACACAGAUCUUCCCAUAUACCAGUUGUAAGGUUUAGAUUAACGCUUCUUACAACGACCAGUAUAAAUGUUAUGUGGCAGAAAUUGUGUAUUUUGAUUUACGAAAGUUGUUGUUAGUUUAACCGGAAGUGGUGUAUCAGAUAUACCGGAAAUUAGUGUUUUAUUUACCGGAAGUGGCAUAUCAGUAUAAAAGCUGUGCAAUUAGUGCAUUAUUUAAAUGAAGUAAAUAUAUAGUGAACCAUGCAUCUUAUUGAUGUUACAAGUGUUAUACAAGUCAAUAUCAAAUAGUGUAAAGUCUAUUUAGGUGAAAAUUUAGAUUAAUUCAAUCUGAAAGUAUUUGAUGUUCCAAACAACGUCCUAGAUCUUGACCGCAAACAGAGUAUAUGGUAGUAGGUGUGAUAAGGCA